rnacentral:rRNA from 1 species
GACGAACCGUGCGAACGUUGUUCGGAAUCACUGGGCUUAAAGGGCGCGUAGGCGGGUCAGCAAGUCCGGGGUGAAAUCUUUCGGCUCAACCGGAAAAGUGCCUCGGAUACUGCUGGUCUUGAGGGAGGUAGGGGUUUGUGGAACUUCUGGUGGAGCGGUGAAAUGCGUUGAUAUCAGAAGGAACGCCGGUGGCGAAAGCGAACGAACUGGACCUCUUCUGACGCUGAGGCGCGAAAGCUAGGGGAGCAAACGGGG